GACGAACGCUGGCGGCGUGCUUAACACAUGCAAGUCGAGCGGAGCGGCGAACGGGUGAGUAACGCGUGAGUAAUUGCCCCCCUCUCUGGGAUACCAGUUGGAAACGGCCGCUAAUACCGGAUAGUGGGGGAUGACUCGCGUCCUAUCAGCUUGUUGGUGGGGUAGUGGCCUACCAAGGCGACGACGUGUAGCCGGCCUGAGAGGGCGACCGGCCACAUUGGGCUGAGAUACGGCCCAAACUCCGACGGGAGGCAGCAGUGGGGGAGAUUGCACAAUGGGGGAAACCCUGAUGCAGCAACGCCGCGUGCGGGAUGACGGCCUUCGGGUUGUAAACCGCUUUCGGCCAUGACGCGCUAGUGGCCUUAGAAGCGCCGGCUAACUACGUGCCAGCAGCCGCGGUAAUAC
rnacentral:rRNA from 1 species